rnacentral:rRNA from 1 species
AGUAUAGUACUUUGGCAUCAAGGAACUAUUAAAGUCACAACGGCAAAAGAUGAGCAUGCGUCCCAUUAGCUAGUUGGUAAGGUAACGGCUUACCAAGGCUACGAUGGGUAGGGGUCCUGAGAGGGAGAUCCCCCACACUGGUACUGAGACACGGACCAGACUCCUACGGGAGGCAGCAGUGAGGAAUAUUGGACAAUGGGCGCAAGCCUGAUCCAGCCAUGCCGCGUGCAGGAUGACGGUCCUAUGGAUUGUAAACUGCUUUUGUACGAGAAGAAACAACAUUACGUGUAAUGUCUUGACGGUAUCGUAAGAAUAAGGAUCGGCUAACUCCGUG